AUUGAACGCUGGCGGCGGGCUUAACACAUGCAAGUCGAGCGGAGAUGAGGUGCUUGCACCUUAUCUUAGCGGCGGACGGGUGGGUAAUGCUUAGGAAUCUGCUUAUUAGUGGGGGACAACAUUACGAAAGGAAUGCUAAUACAGCAUACGUCCUACGGGAGAAAGCAGGGGAUCUUCGGACCUUGCGAUAAGAGAUGAGCCUAAGUCGGAUUAGCUAGUUGGUGGGGUAAAGGCCUACCAAGGCGACGAUCUGUAGCGGGUCUGAGAGGAUGAUCCGCCACACUGGGACUGAGACACGGCCCAGACUCCUACGGGAGGCAGCAGUGGGGAAUAUUGGACAAUGGGGGGAACCCUGAUCCAGCCAUGCCGCGUGUGUGAAGAAGGCCUUAUGGUUGUAAAGCACUUUAAGCGAGGAGGAGGCUACUGAGACUAAUACUCUUGGAUAGUGGACGUUACUCGCAGAAUAAGCACCGGCUAACUCUGUGCCAGCCGCCGCGGUAACAC
rnacentral:rRNA from 1 species